rnacentral:rRNA from 1 species
GGUGAACGCUGGCGGCGUGCCUAAUACAUGCAAGUCGAGCGAACGGACGAGAAGCUUGCUUCUCUGAUGUUAGCGGCGGACGGGUGAGUAACACGUGGAUAACCUACCUAUAAAACUGGGAUAACUUCGGGAAACCGGAGCUAUUACCGGAGAAUAUUUUAAACCGAAGGGUUAAAAAUUGAAAAAGGGUCUUGCUGUAACUUAUAGAUGGAUCCGCGCUGCAUUAGCUAGUUGGUAAGGUAACGGCUUACCAAGGCAACGAUGCAUAGCCGACCUGAGAGGGUGAUCGGCCACACUGGAACUGAGACACGGUCCAGACUCCUACGGGAGGCAGCAGUAGGGAAUCUUCCGCAAUGGGCGAAAGCCUGACGGAGCAACGCCGCGUGAGUGAUGAAGGUCUUCGGAUCGUAAAACUCUGUUAUUAGGGAAGAACAUAUGUGUAAGUAACUGUGCACAUCUUGACGGUACCUAAUCAGAAAGCCACGGCUAACUACGUG